CAACAGGGAUUGCCCUAGUAACGGCGAGUGAAGCGGCAACAGCUCAAAUUUGAAAUCUGGCUUCGGCCCGAGUUGUAAUUUGCAGAGGAAGCUUUAGGCGCGGCACUUUCUGAGUCCCCUGGAACGGGGCGCCAUAGAGGGUGAGAGCCCCGUAUAGUUAGAUGCCUAGCCUGUGUAAAGCUCCUUCGACGAGUCGAGUAGUUUGGGAAUGCUGCUCAAAAUGGGAGGUAAAUUUCUUCUAAAGCUAAAUACCGGCCAGAGACCGAUAGCGCACAAGUAGAGUGAUCGAAAGAUGAAAAGCACUUUGAAAAGAGGGUUAAAUAGCACGUGAAAUUGUUGAAAGGGAAGCGCUUGUGACCAGACUUGCGCCGGGCAGAUCAUCCGGUGUUCUCACCGGUGCACUCUGCCCGGCUCAGGCCAGCAUCGGUUCUCGCGGGGGGAUAAAGGCCCUGGGAACGUAGCUCCUCCGGGAGUGUUAUAGCCCGGGGCGUAAUGCCCUCGCGGGGACCGAGGUUCGCGCAUCUGCAAGGAUGCUGGCGUAAUGGUCAUCAGCGACCCGUCUUGAAACACGGACCAAGGAGUCAAGGUUUUGCGCGAGUGUUUGGGUGUAAAACCCGCACGCGUAAUGAAAGUGAACGUAGGUGAGAGCUUCGGCGCAUCAUCGACCGAUCCUGAUGUUUUCGGAUGGAUUUGAGUAGGAGCGUUAAGCCUUGGACCCGAAAGAUGGUGAACUAUGCUUGGAUAGGGUGAAGCCAGAGGAAACUCUGGUGGAGGCUCGCAGCGGUUCUGACGUGCAAAUCGAUCGUCAAAUCUGAGCAUGGGGGCGAAAGACUAAUCG
rnacentral:rRNA from 2 species